AGCAGACUUCUCCGGUUUCUCCUCAGGAUCUGACCAUCUUCUGUCCUGACAGUGUAAGACCUUGGCUUCACCUCCUCCAGGACUGUGGCUCUUUUAGUCCAGGUUGCGAGCAGGAACAGCAACAAACACACAUGUCCUGGUCUAACUCUCUGUCAGUCUAUAUCACAGUUGGUUCAUCCCUUUGUUUCUAUGGUACAGGACCGUUACAUACUGGAUUUCUUCUGUAUCUUCGGAAUCAGACACUUUUUCUUCAGUCUGAUUUCUGC